rnacentral:tRNA from 1 species
GGGGAUGUGACGCAAUUGGUAGACGUAUGGAGCUUAGACCUCCAGUGUUGUCGGUUCGACUCCGACCUUCCCCA